UACGUAGGGGGCAAGCGUUGUCCGGAAUCAUUGGGCGUAAAGAGCGUGUAGGCGGCCUGAUAAGUCGGCUGUGAAAGUCAAGGGCUCAACCCUUGAAUGCCGGCCGAUACUGUCAGGCUAGAGUCCGGAAGAGGCGAGUGGAAUUCCUGGUGUAGCGGUGAAAUGCGUAGAUAUCGGGAGGAACACCAGUGGCGAAGGCGGCUUCCUGGCCUGUUCUUGACGCUGAGGCGCGAAAGCUAGGGGAGCAAACGGG
rnacentral:rRNA from 1 species